UUGAACAACUCUUUGAACAUAGAAAUCAGGAGUUCAACAAGCCCUAUUUUCAACAUCAGCUCUAUCCUUUGCAAAAAUUUCUCGAAAGGCAAAUAUAACAACGCUGAAAAUUGAAAGCUUCUUCUCGGGCUGAGUAGUUGCGCUGAAUCUUUUUUGUGAACCUGCGCUGCCCAUUUAGUCUUCUUUGUGAAUCUGCGCUACCCUCAAAAUUGGAAGGUAGCAGAGUUUCCAGCAAGUAAAUGUUGAGACACCCCUCUUGAUAGCACUGAACUCACAAUGCAAAGGUAGAGCUGAGUUAGUCUAGAAAUAGAACAUAAUUAGUCCCAAAACCAGCAAAGAUAGUUACUAAUCAUUAUAAUGGAUUGGUAUGGUCAUUCAAACCAUCUCCAACUAUUCGAUUCUCCAUUGGAUAUAUUGUUAUGCACAUAUCUUAGUUAAUGAGCCUUCGAGUGUUUAAAUCAACAUCAGCUAGGAUCACAGUAAGAGUUACAUGAUUGAUUCAAGGAUAAAAAAUAGUAGGAACUUUCCUUUAUCGUCAGUUCAAGAUUCUUGUAUAUACAUAGAAGUAACUAAUGGAUGAAGAUUGAUUUCUGCUGCGCUGAAAGGAAAGGAAAAACCUCAACUAAACAACUAAGUUUGUGGUGUUGAAUGUAAAUUAGCCAAGGCCGUUGUGCAGCCCGGGCCUAGAAGUCCCAUUGCUCCGAGAGCGAUCGAUUUUGCAGAGCUAAAAUACUAGCAUAAC
rnacentral:lncRNA from 1 species